AUUGAACGCUGGCGGCAGGCUUAACACAUGCAAGUCGAACGAGUGGCGGACGGGUGAGUAAUGCUUGGGAAUCUAGCUUAUGGAGGGGGAUAACUACUGGAAACGGUAGCUAAUACCGCCUACCAUCCGAUGAACCCAUAUGGGAUUAGCUUGUAGGUGAGGUAACGGCUCACCUAGGCGACGAUCCCUAGCUGGUCUGAGAGGAUGACCAGCAACACUGGGACUGAGACACGGCCCAGACUCCUACGGGAGGCAGCAGUGGGGAAUAUUGCGCAAUGGGGGCAACCCUGACGCAGCCAUGCCGCGUGAAUGAAGAAGGCCGUCGGGUUGUAAAGUUCUUUCGGUAGCGAGGCGUUAACUACAGAAGAAGCACCGGCUAACUCCGUGCCAGCAGCCGCGGUAAUUC
rnacentral:rRNA from 1 species